UACAGAGGGGGCAAGCGUUAUUCGGAAUUAUUGGGCGUAAAGGGCGCGUAGGCGGACUGACAAGUGGAAGGUGAAAUCCCUCGGCUUAACCGAGGAACUGCCCUCCAAACUGUCUGGCUUGAGUCCGGGAGAGGUGAGUGGAAUUCCCAGUGUAGCGGUGAAAUGCGUAGAUAUUGGGAGGAACACCAGUGGCGAAGGCGGCUCACUGGACCGGUACUGACGCUGAGGCACGAAAGCCAGGGGAGCGAACAGG
rnacentral:rRNA from 1 species